UACGGGGGGGGCAAGCGUUGUUCGGAAUUGCUGGGCGUAAAGGGCUCGUAGGCGGCCAACUAAGUCAGACGUGAAAUCCCUCGGCUUAACCGGGGAACUGCGUCUGAUACUGGAUGGCUCGAGUGUGGGAGAGGGAUGCGGAAUUCCCGGUGUAGCGGUGAAAUGUGUAGAGAUCGGGAGGAACACCGGUGGCGAAGGCGGGUCUCUGGGCAUCUCCUGACGCUGAGGCGCGAAAGCGUGGGGAGCAAACGGG
rnacentral:rRNA from 1 species